GACGAACGCUGGCGGCGUGCUUAACACAUGCAAGUCGAACGGAAAGGCCCCUUUGGGGGUACUCGAGUGGCGAACGGGUGAGUAACACGUGAGUAACCUGCCCUUGACUUCGGGAUAACUUCAGGAAACUGGGGCUAAUACCGGAUAGGAAUCCUUGCUGCAUGGUGGGGGUUGGAAAGCUUCGGCGGUUUUGGAUGGACUCGCGGCUUAUCAGCUUGUUGGUGGGGUAGUGGCUUACCAAGGCUUUGACGGGUAGCCGGCCUGAGAGGGCGACCGGCCACAUUGGGACUGAGAUACGGCCCAGACUCCUACGGGAGGCAGCAGUGGGGAAUAUUGCACAAUGGGCGGAAGCCUGAUGCAGCAACGCCGCGUGCGGGAUGACGGCCUUCGGGUUGUAAACCGCUUUCAGCAGGGGAGAAGCUUGUGGUGACGGUACCUGCAGAAGAAGCACCGGCUAACUACGUG
rnacentral:rRNA from 1 species